rnacentral:rRNA from 1 species
AGUUGGUAAGGUAACGGCUUACCAAGGCGACGAUCAGUAGCCGACCUGAGAGGGUGAUCGGCCACAUUAGAACUGAGACACGGUCCAAACUCCUACGGGAGGCAGCAGUGGGGAAUAUUGCACAAUGGGCGAAAGCCUGAUGCAGCAACGCCGCGUGAGUGAUGAAGGCCUUCGGGUCGUAAAACUCUGUCCUCAAGGAAGAUAAUGACGGUACUUGAGGAGGAAGCCCCGG